rnacentral:rRNA from 1 species
AACGAACGCUGGCGGCAGGCUUAACACAUGCAAGUCGAACGCCCCGCAAGGGGAGUGGCAGACGGGUGAGUAACGCGUGGGAACAUACCCUUUCCUGCGGAAUAGCUCUGGGAAACUGGAAUUAAUACCGCAUACGCCCUACGGGGGAAAGAUUUAUCGGGGAAGGAUGAGCCCACGUUGGAUUAGCUAGUUGGUGGGGUAAUGGCCUACCAAGGCGACGAUCCAUAGCUGGUCUGAGAGGAUGAUCAGCCACAUUGGGACUGAGACACGGCCCAAACUCCUACGGGAGGCAGCAGUGGGGAAUAUUGGACAAUGGGCGAAAGCCUGAUCCAGCCAUGCCGCGUGAGUGAUGAAGGCCCUAGGGUUGUAAAGCUCUUUCACCGGUGAAGAUAAUGACGGUAACCGGAGAAGAAGCCCCGGCUAACUUCGUGCCAGCAGCCGCCGCCGUAA